UAGAGAAGUCGAACCCGCGAUAGAAAAGCCUCAGGCCUGGGGCGGUCUUGACAGGCUGAGGUGCUAGAGAGAGUUUCGCGUCGUAAAGAAAUCAAGUACCUGCCGGUGUACGGAAGUGUCGGCGGGAUCCUGGAGGCGAUGAGGCGAUGCCUUUUUUAAGGUGGGAGACUUCAACCCGGGAUGAAAGAUGCACGGGGGACCAAGGGAAGGGGAAGUUUUCCCAGAAAGCUCUCUAACUCAGAAUGCCCACCAUCCAUACUCUGAGGACAAAGACGGCCGUUCACCGGUGUCUGUAAGCAUUUGACACUCGGGAAUACCCAACGCUGCACUUGAGGGCACCUGCUCAUGGGAUUUAGUUUUACUGUUGUUGUGGAUACCCAUGGAGUGCUAUCUUGUCACCUAGAUUCUAUUAGAACAUCAACAAUGUCAGCCAUCGCAUCUGCCUUUUAGAAUCUCGUUGUGCAGGAUUUAAAAAUUGUAUAAUAUUCCAUACAUACUGGGAAGAAUGAAGAAUGAUAUAUAAACAUGUGUAUCCACUCCCAGCUUUAUCACAUCUUAACAUUCUGCCAUAUUUACUUCAGAACUUUUCAUGGAAACAAGUCUUUGGAAGUCAACACCAACACUAACAAGACCUAUUGACAUCACGGGACUCUGGAUAUGAUGUGCAAGAAAAAUGUAACUAAUUUCCUUUAUAUUCUUGCUACAAAUAUGCAUAACCUUACUCCAAACGUGAAAAGGCAUCAGAAAAACCCAAAUUGAGAAACAUUUUACAGAAUAAUGAUCAGUAUUCCUCAUAAACAUCAAGAUUAUGAAAAAUAAGAAAAAGUCAGGAAUUGUUAAAAUUAGAGGAGACUAAAGAUAAACAACAAAUAAAUGUGAGAUUCUGGAACAGAAAAA